rnacentral:rRNA from 1 species
UACGUAGGGGGCAAGCGUUGUCCGGAAUUAUUGGGCGUAAAGGGCUCGUAGGCGGUUUGUUGCGUCGGAAGUGAAAACUCAGGGCUUAACCCUGAGCCUGCUUCCGAUACGGGCAGACUAGAGGUAUGCAGGGGAGAACGGAAUUCCUGGUGUAGCGGUGAAAUGCGCAGAUAUCAGGAGGAACACCGGUGGCGAAGGCGGGUCUCUGGGCCGAUACUGACGCUGAGGAGCGAAAGCGUGGGGAGCGAACAGG